GCCGCCGUCAAGAAGGUCCUCAAGAUCAACACCAAAGGUGCUGAGGAGCAGUCUGCUCCGGCAAGCCUUAGGGUUUGUUCCGUUGAAGCAGACGCUCCGGACAAGUUUUGCUCCGGCAAGCUUGCCGGGGAACGUCAAGCUCCAGCCGAGCCGCAGGUUCUCGUCGUAGAAGCGGAUGUUCCCGCAGCAGCAGAUGUGCCUUUAGUCUUUGUUGUCGAGCCGCAAGCUCCAGCAUGGGCACAGCAGAUUGUCCGUUUCCUUCAGACAGGAGAACUUCCCGAAGAGCAAGAAGAAGCGGAAAGAGUAGCCCGGCAGUCAAGUAUGUACCAGUUUGUCGACAACACACUGUACAGAAGAAGGCUCAACGGCGUGAAAUUGAAGUGUAUUCACCGGGAAGACGGACAAAAGCUGUUGGCAGAGAUACAUGGAGGCAUAUGUGGUCACCACAUUGGCGCAAGAGCACUUGUCGGCAAAGCAUUCCGGCAAGGUUUCUUUUGGCCAACAGCCCUCCAGGAUGCAACUGCACAAGUAACCAAGUGUGAAGCGUGCCAGUUCCAUUCCAAGUAG
rnacentral:rRNA from 1 species